GUCGGGGUGUGGUGGUGCACGCCUGUCAUCCCAGCAUCUUGGGAGGCUGAGGCAGGAGGAUCGUGAGUUCAAAGCCAGCCUCAGCAAAAGUGAGGCCCUAAGCAACUCAGUGAGACCCUGUCUCUA
rnacentral:sRNA from 1 species